AUUGACUUCCACAGGCUCUUCAAGAGUCUAUGACAAGCACAGCCCUGUGCUCGAGGACAGGGUUGGCUGAAUGUUAGGAUAGUUAAAUUCUUCAGUUAAUAAUCAUACUCAAAGGAUAAUAGAUCAGGGUUAUCCUGGAGAAGGUUUCUUGGGUGCAGUGGUGCAUGCUUGAAGUCCCAGAUCCUUGGGAGGCUGAGGCAAGAGGAUCGCUUGAGCCCAGGAAUUUGAGACCAACAUGGGCAACACCGGGAGACCCAUUCUCAAAACCAAAAACCACUGCAAGUAGCUUGGGUGUAGAUCUGUUUAUUAAAUUUGCACGGGUGCAUGGGACACAAUUGGAUGGCUAGCGUCUAUUUGGAAUUGUCUGACAAGGAUUUUCAAAAAGUUGCAUGGUGAAAUUUCACAGGGUUUAUAGACUAUGGCUCUGUCUUUGAGCCCCUCAGUUGUGUUAAGUGCAGGAGAAAGAUAAUGGCUUAGCAGAAAUAGGGGGGUUCAGAGAUGGGUGGAGACCUUCAGGGCACCUUGCUGCUUUAGUUCGCUGGAGCAGGUGAUGCAGGAAAGGAGGCAUGAGGAUGUGGCUGGCCAGGUUUACGGGGGUCAGGUGGUGAGAGCCUCGAAAGCUGUGCUCAGGAACUUGGGCCGUGUUCUAAGUGGCAGGCAUUCCUUUACAGUUCAUCCUUGAGGGAAGUGACUCCUCUUUUUGACCAGCUUUGGCAGGCUGUGGAGGAGAGUUGGACCUGGGAGAGCAGAGAGGAGAUUUACACAGGUCCACGUGGAGGCUGGUGCAGUCUGGCUUCGGUUAGGACCCAAGGGCAGGGAUGGGGAGGUGGUGCUGCCCUGUCAGAGUGCCCUUUGGCCUGUCGUCCCGGGCUUGGCUGCCACAUAGGAGUGCUUCGGUUUCUGGUACUCUUGCCAAAGGCUGGCAGGACUGAACAGUCUCUCAGUCUUCAUGCUUUUCCCCUGAAAGAACCGGCUGCCUAGCCCCGGCCUUUAGCCUUCUCUCGUCACACUCAGUAUCCUUGUUGCUUCUGCUUCCCUAGAGACGGGGCUUUGGGAGAGGGCAAGAGGAGCCCCUUUAAGGAGCGUGAAGAGGACUUGGAGAAGGCCAUGUCCCAGAAAAGAACUUCAAACAGGAGGCAGAAAACAUAGAAAACAUCGUGCUGUUGAGAAAUGUCCAUUGGAUCUGGGGAAGAGUAAGACCUCGUGAAGGAAGGAGAGAAGAUGGUGCGGUGAGGUGCCGGCCCUGCUCCGCCGCCACUCACACCUCAGCACAGGGACUGUGGCAACCCAGGCGCCUGCCCUACUUGGUUCCUGAAUGGAUGGCAGAUAAGAAAAGAAACCUCUUGCUGAAAUGCUGAAACUUCCUCUGCUUAUGAGAUUAAAAAAACUGGCUGAAAUCAGUUGGAAUCCAUAUGGCCAGCUGGAGUCUAUGCAGAAUGAGCCCGCUGACCUCACAGCCUUUCCACUGCACCUUUCACACUAGCGCCCCCCAAAUUUGCACCUAUGACCCAUGAAGAGGCAUGAAGAUACCACUGUGGAGGCCCGAGGACUUUCCAGACCUUUCCUUCCCUUCCACUAAUCACCUAUUCAUCUCAGAAUCCACCCGCUAAACAUUUUUUUUUUUUUUUUGAGACGGGAGUCUCGCUCUGUCGCCCAGGCUGGAGUGCAGUGGUGCGAUCUCCGCUCACUGCAAGCUCCGCCUGCCGGGUUCACGCCAUUCUCCUGCGUCAGCCUCCCGAGUAGCUGGGAAUACAGGCGUCUGCCACCACUAAUUUUUUUGUAUUUUUUAGUAGAGAUGGGGUUUCACCGUGUUAGCCAGGAUGGUCUCGAUCUCAUGACCUCGUGAUCCGCCCGCCUUGGCCUCGGAAAGUGCUGGGAUUACAGGCGUGAGCCACCGCGCCCGGCUUAAACAUUUUCUAAUGAAGACACUGCCUUAAAGCUGGCACAGAAAGAUUUGAGCUGGACUUCUGUCUCCUUGUUGGUCGAACUGCGAUAACAAGCUUUCGUUUUCUCAAAAACCUGGUGCCAUAGUAUCGGCUUCUAGUGCAUGGGGCAGCGAGCCCUUUCACUCGGUAACACUGCGUCAGGAACUGGCAUGCAUUUUGGUGGUCUCACAACCCCAGCUCUGCCCCCCAGCACAUCUCGUUGAGAGGUGACAGCGUGCCGGCAGCUCUCGGCGCCUCCUCGGCCUUGGCGCCCACUCUGGCCUUGCUUGAGAAGCCCUUCAGCCCGCCGCUGCACUGCGGGAGCCCCUUUCUGCGCUGGCCAAGGCCGGAGCCGGCACCCUCAGCUUGCGGGGAGGUGUGGAGGGAGAGGCGCGAGCGGGAACAGGGGCUGCGCGCGGUGCUUGCUGGCCAGCGUGAGUUCCGGGUG
rnacentral:lncRNA from 1 species